UGGCGGACGGGUGAGUAAUGCGUAGGAAUCUGCCCAACAGUGUGGAACAACUCGGAGAAAUCCGAGCUAAUACCGCAUACGUCCUAUGGGAGAAAGCGGGGGACCUUCGGGCCUCGCGCUGAUGGAUGAGCCUACGUCGGAUUAGCUUGUUGGUAGGGUAAAGGCCUACCAAGGCGACGAUCCGUAGCUGGUCUGAGAGGAUGAUCAGCCACACUGGGACUGAGACACGGCCCAGACUCCUACGGGAGGCAGCAGUGGGGAAUAUUGGACAAUGGGCGCAAGCCUGAUCCAGCAAUGCCGCGUGUGUGAAGAAGGCCUGCGGGUUGUAAAGCACUUUUAUCGGGAAAGAAAAACCCAAGGUUAAUACCCUUGGCAUUGACGGUACCCGAAGAAUAAGCACCGGCCAACUCCGUGCCAGCAGCCGCGGUAAU
rnacentral:rRNA from 1 species